rnacentral:rRNA from 1 species
GACGAACGCUGGCGGCGUGCUUAACACAUGCAAGUCGAACGGUGAAGCCUUUCGGGGUGGAUCAGUGGCGAACGGGUGAGUAACACGUGGGCAACCUGCCCCUGACUUCGGGAUAAGCCCGGGAAACCGGGUCUAAUACCGGAUAUGAUCACGUCCCGCAUGGGGUGUGGUGGAAAGUUUUUCGGUCAGGAUGGGCUCGCGGCCUAUCAGCUUGUUGGUGGGGUGAUGGCCUACCAAGGCGACGACGGGUAGCCGGCCUGAGAGGGCGACCGGCCACACUGGGACUNAGACACGGCCCAGACUCCUACGGGAGGCAGCAGGUGGGGAAUAUUGCGCAAUGGGCGAAAGCCUGACGCAGCGACGCCGCGUGAGGGAUGAAGGCCUUCGG